rnacentral:tRNA from 1 species
ACCCGGCUGGCUCAGUCGGUAGAGCACGCGACUCUUGAUCUCAGGGUCUUGAGUUCAAGGCUCACGUUGAGUG